rnacentral:rRNA from 1 species
AGAGUUUGAUCAUGGCUCAGAUUGAACGCUGGCGGCAUUUACACAUGCAAGUCGAGCGGCAGGNNNGGCAACCCUGGCGGCGAGCGGCGAACGGGUGAGUAAUACAUCGGAACGUGUCCCGUAGUGGGGGAUAACCCGGCGAAAGCCGGACUAAUACCGCAUAUUCUCUACGGAGGAAAGUGGGGGACCCGCAAGGGCCUCAUGCUAUGGGAGCGGCCGAUGUCCGAUUAGCUUGUUGGUGAGGUAACGGCUUACCAAGGCGACGAUCGGUAGCUGGUCUGAGAGGAUGAUCAGCCACACUGGGACUGAGACACGGCCCAGACUCCUACGGGAGGCAGCAGUGGGGAAUUUUGGACAAUGGGGGCAACCCUGAUCCAGCCAUGCCGCGUGCGGGAAGAAGGCCUUCGGGUUGUAAACCGCUUUUGUCCGGAAAGAAAAGGCCACUCCUAAUACGGGUGGUUCUUGACGGUACCGGAAGAAUAAGCACCGGCUAACUACGUGCCAGCAGCCGCGGUAAUACGUAGGGUGCGAGCGUUAAUCGGAAUUACUGGGCGUAAAGCGUGCGCAGGCGGUUCGUGAUGUCUGGUGUGAAAGCCCCGGGCUUAACCUGGGAAUUGCAUUGGAAACUAGCGGGCUGGAGUGUGGCAGAGGGGGGUGGAAUUCCACGUGUAGCAGUGAAAUGCGUAGAGAUGUGGAGGAACACCGAUGGCGAAGGCAGCCCCCUGGGCUAACACUGACGCUCAUGCACGAAAGCGUGGGGAGCAAACAGGAUUAGAUACCCUAGUAGUCC